UUCUUUAAAAUAGCCUGUUGUGUCACUCUUUGGCAAACAUGUUGGGCAUUUUGAAAUCCUACUCCAUAAAUUUCAUAGGUGUAUUCUUUCAGAAUCUGAGGCGUUGUAGCUCUCAUUAGCUAUGAAGUCACUGAGUCAGUGUUAAACAAGCUAAGUUUCUCAAAGCACGUGAAAUUCGUAGUCUUAUUCUGAUGACUCCAUUUACAUUCAGAAAUCUAUAACUAUAUUUCAAACUGUGACAUCUUUAUACCACACAAUUUCAGCACAACUGUCUCUUCCUUAUAAUUUCUAUGCCUUCACAGCCUAGAAAAUUGAUGUUUAUAAAUUGCUUUAUAAUCAAUGGGUUCUAUUAGACAUGGGGGAAUCAUAUAAAUUAAUAGACUAAUAGUAAACUUCCAGGCUUAAGUAAUUUUACUUGCAAUGGUCAACUGUUUUUAGUAAUGGACUUGAUAUAAAUGUGUUUUACAUUUAUCAUAUUUAAAUACUACCUUAAGUCAAUUUCUUUUUACCUUAAACUUUUUACUUAAAGUUAUUAUUGUCAAGAUGGAAUUGAACAAGAUUGGGUUAUUUAUUCAAGUGUUAAUUCAAAAGACAGAUAGAUGCUAGAAUAUAGAGGUGACCAAAACAUAGUCCCUAUUGUCUUAAGUGCUUACAGUGUAGAUAGGGAACUAGAUAAGCAAGGGAUGAAAAUAGUGAAAGAAAUGCUUAGGGGCACAUCAUGGGGAUACCCCAAUUUACCAAAUAAUUACUAGGUCCUGAAAAAAAAAUGCUCUUUUGUAUCCUAGGUCAGACUUUGAAGCUUGUAAAACACAUUAAACUGAUACAUUCAGAUAGAAUAUGACUUUCUGAACAAGUCUGAUGAAACCACAUAGGACAUUUUGCAGUGCUUACCCUCUACAAGUGUGGGAUGGGAGAGAUUAUAGGUUAUGGAAUGUUACCUCCUUUAUCUUCCUUAAUGCACUUCAGAGUUUCUAACAUGUUCCCACAUGGGUUAGCUCAUGUCAUCCUUAAAGUGGCCCAGUAAAAGAGAUGUCAUCCCAAUUCCCAUUUUACAAAUGAAGAAAAAAAACUCAAUAAAGCUAAUAACUUGGCUACUGUUAUUUACAUAGAGACUGACAGUAAGUGGACUCAAAUCAAGGUCUUUCCACUAUGCUGAUGCUGAUUCUAUUACUGUGAAAUAGAUUAUCCAGGGCAGUUUUAUUUUAUAGAUGAGAAAACGUAUCUAAAAGAGAGGAGUAAUCUAUCCAAAGCCACAUUCCUGGGUAUUAGCAAAAACAUAAUAUUUAGAUAAGACAUGCUCCUUCUAAAUGUUCCUGAUAUGAUAAUUUGAGAGCAGUUAUGUGAGCUGCUAACUCAAUAAAUGGAUAGAAAUAACGUCUUAGGAAAUCACUGAAUAGAGGAUCAAAUGAUCUGGGUUCCAGUUCUGCCAUAUUGUAAGCUGUGUGGAACCCUUGGGCAGAAUUAUUUGUUUCCUUUUGCAGGAUCUGUAUUAACUUCAUUUGCUAGAAAAAGGGAAGGGGCACCAGGUGAUGGUGGGUAGCUUUUCCUAUAAAAGAGCUAUACUCCACAAGUGUCAUAUAUGAAGGAAUGAAUGGUCAUGGAGAGUUCCAUAGGGUCUGGUAUCCAAAAGGAGACUAGAUCAAGGAAUGAACAUUCCGAAAGAUCACAUUCAGAAAUUUCUGGUGCAUUUGUACAUCUCCGUAACUAUUUGUUGCACGACUUUUCUUCCUGAGUGGAUAUUGACAGUAAAAUAGUUAAAUGUAAGAAGAGAUUAGUUUUUAUUUCAAAGACAUUAAGGAAAUGGAGCUUUCUCAAAUUCUUAGAAGUAACUUUGUCCUUUUCUUAACUUUUCCUAAUUCAGUUCCCUUAGUUUUCCUGGUAAUGCCUUGUAUUUGUUUUCUAGGGCUGCUUUAAGAAAGUACAACAAAAUGAGUGGCUUAAACAAUACAAAUUUAUUGUAUCAGUUCUGGAGGCUAGACGUCCAAGAUCAAAGUGACAGCACGGCUGCUUCCUUCUGAGGGCUCCGGGAAACAAUCUGUUCCAAGCCUCUAAGUUCUACCCUCUGGGGGUUUGCUGGCCACCUUUGGUAUUCCGUGGCUUGAAAAGCAUCACUGAUGUCUCCAUCUUCACCUGUCCUUCUCCCUGUGUGGGUGCCUAUGCCCAAACUGUGUCUUUUUCCUAAGGAUACCAGUCAUAUGAGAGCCCACCCUAAUGACCUCACCUUAACUAAUUAUGUCUGUAGUGACCCGAUUUCCAAAUGAGAUCAGAUUCUGAGAUACUAGAUGUCGGGACUUCAAAAUAAUGAAUUUUGGGGGAACACAGUUCAACCUGUAAAAUUCCACUUGGCUAAGCAAAUCACUGCAUGUGUACUUGAUAAGUGUAUCAGUCAGGGUUCCACCAAAAAACCAGAACCAGUACAGAGAGAGAGAGCUGCAGAGAGAAGAGGGAGAAAGAUUGAUUGCAGGGAAUUGUAAUGCGACUUUGAGAGCUUACUGGGCAAGUCCAAAAUCCAUAGGGUGGGUCAUUAGGAAGGGGAGUUUGAAAAUUCUUGUUUUAAGAGCUAAUGCUGCAGUCCACAGGAAGUGUCUUCUUCCUCAGGGAAACCUCAAUUCUGUCCCUAAGGCCUUGGCAAAUUGGGUCAGACCCACCUAGAUUAUCCAGGAUAAUCUCUAUAAAGCCAACUGGUUGUAGCUGUUGGUCACGUCUACAAUGUGCCUUCCCAGAAACACCUUGAGUGCUGUUUGAUUGAGUCAUCUGGUACGACAGUCUAACAAAACUGACCCAAAAACCAUGACAGUAACUAACAGGGAUGGGAGCAAGAGGCUGAUAGAAUAUUCCUUAAAACCCAAAUGAACAGGGGCAAUAAUCUUGGGUGUAUUAUCCAGUAGUGAUGGGCUCCUUGUUUGGCAGGCUGGGUAUGCACAAGGUUUGCAUGAUAUUUUGUGACAGCCAGGACCCCCCGUGUGUAUUUCUCCUUUCUAACACAGCCUUAAUACAACUCCUCCCUUCCAGUGUGUAUCUUGAAGCUCUAGCCUCAUUCUUCCAAUUCAAUCUUGUGUUCUCUGAGGAAAAAAAUGCCCAAAGCAAUUUUUAUCCCAUCACACACUGUUUGUGAAUGUACGGCUGUCAUAGCUUAUUCACAGGGCUUUCCUCUGUUAACCACCUUCUCUAUGUGCACACUGGUUGGAAGCAGUGGGGAUUAAGGGGAGGGGAAAAGGGAAGACCCCUUGGCUCCAAGCUUUUGGAGAACAAUCGUAUCUCAUUUGUCACUGUUAGUCUGACAACCCUCAUUUCACUCCUCCCAAAUUCCCCCUGCCAUAUUCUGCUUUUAGUGGAGGAAUAAAUGAUUGCUUGUAUGGGUUCAGUGGACUAGCUCUCCCAUUUGCAGUUUUUGUAGCUUGAGGAAGCGGGUGGGUGGAAAGGCAGAAGGUUUCUGUCGUGGGUGAUGGUGUCUGUUGAGUGAUGUAUGUCUCUUGAAAAUUCUGUUGGAUGAGAAAAAUCCUGAAAUAUUAUGAGGUAUAAUGUGUGCUAGUUUAAAUUUAUUAAAUUUGUUCAAUAAUAUCAAUAAUACCUGCCCCCCCCCAGCAUUGGUAAAGGUUCUAUUAAGUAUAUAAGAUUGAGUAAAUAGAGACAGAUUAAGAAAAAAAGAAACAUUAUAUUAAACUUUGGUUGGGGGUCAAAUGGUAUCAGGAAAAGAACACUAGAUUUUGAGUUUGAUUCUGGGCCCUUAGUUAGGAAAGUUAUGUCAUUUGGCCUAUACAAUCCAUAGUUUUCCAUUGUAAAAUAAUAACUGAUGAUGGGAGUUCCCGUCGCGGCACAGUGGUUAACGAAUCCAACUAGGAACCAUGAGGUUUCAGGUUCAGUCCCUGGCCUUGCUCAGUGGGUUAAGGAUCUGGCGUUGCUGUGAGCUGUGGUGUAGGUCGCAGACAAGGCGCAGAUCCCGUGUUGCUAUGACUCUGGCGUAGGCCAGCGGCUAAAGCUCCGAUUAGACCCUUAGCCUGGGAACCUCCAAAUGCCACAGAAGCAGCCCUAGAAACAAGGCAAAAAGAAAAGAAAACAAAACAAGGAGUUCCCGUCGUGGCGCAGUGGUUAACGAAUCCGACUAGGAACCAUGAGGUUGCGGGUUCGGUCCCUGCCCUUGCUUAGUGGGUUAACGAUCCGGCAUUGCCGUGAGCUGUGGUGUAGGUUGCAGACGCGGCUCGGAUCCCGCGUUGCUGUGGCUCUGGCGUAGGCCGGUGGCUACAGCUCCAAUUCGACCCCUAGCCUGGGAACCUCCAUAUGCCGCGGGAGCGGCCCAAGAAAUAGCAACAACAACAAAAAGACAAAAG
rnacentral:lncRNA from 1 species